rnacentral:rRNA from 1 species
CCUACGGGAGGCUGCAGUGGGGAAUAUUGCACAAUGGGGGAAACCCUGAUGCAGCGACACCGCGUGAGUGAAGAAUUACUUCGGUAUGUAAAGCUCUAUCAGCAGCGAAGAAAAAAGACGGUAUCUGACUAAGAAGCCCCGACUAACUACGUGCCAGCAGCCGCGGUAAUACGUAAGGGGCCAGCGUUCUCCGGAUUUACGGUGUGUAAAGGGAGCGUAGACGGUAUGGCAAGUCUGAAGUGAAAGCCCAGGGCUUAACCCGUGGACUGCUUUGGAAACUGUUUGACUAGAGUGCUUGAGGGGUAAGUAGAAUUCCAAGUGUAGCGGUGAAAUGCGUAGAUAUGAGGAGGAAUACCAGAGGCGAAGGCGGCUUACUGGGCAGUAACUGACGUUGAGGCUCGAAAGCGUGGGGAGCAAACAGGAUUAGAUACCCCUGUAGUC